UAGAGUUUGAUCCUGGCUCAGGACGAACGCUGGCGGCGUGCCUAAUACAUGCAAGUCGAACGAACUCUGGUAUUGAUUGGUGCUUGCAUCAUGAUUUACAUUUGAGUGAGUGGCGAACUGGUGAGUAACACGUGGGAAACCUGCCCAGAAGCGGGGGAUAACACCUGGAAACAGAUGCUAAUACCGCAUAACAACUUGGACCGCAUGGUCCGAGUUUGAAAGAUGGCUUCGGCUAUCACUUUUGGAUGGUCCCGCGGCGUAUUAGAUAGAUGGUGAGGUAACGGCUCACCAUGGCAAUGAUACGUAGCCGACCUGAGAGGGUAAUCGGCCACAUUGGGACUGAGACACGGCCCAAACUCCUACGGGAGGCAGCAGUAGGGAAUCUUCCACAAUGGACGAAAGUCUGAUGGAGCAACGCCGCGUGAGUGAAGAAGGGUUUCGGCUCGUAAAACUCUGUUGUUAAAGAAGAACAUAUAUGAGAGUAACUGUUCAGGUAUUGACGGUAUUUAACCAGAAAG
rnacentral:rRNA from 2 species